rnacentral:lncRNA from 1 species
UGAUAAACAUCAUAAGUUUUUCUCUAGGGACACACUUGAUAAAGGGACAUGAGUGAAUAAAGGAAGUCAUAUAAGAUAACGAGUAAUACGAUGAUACAUGUCUCGAACGAGAAAGGUUAUGGAUCCCUGAAACCCUAGAAUCUACCUAUAAAAUAAGGUUAAACAUCAUAACCAAAGUACACAUUCUCUAAAGCAUGAAAUAUUUCCUUCUACCUCAUUCAAUAGAUGACUUGGACGUCACAGUGUUUGCAAGUACUACUUUA